GACGAACGCUGGCGGCGUGCUUAACACAUGCAAGUCGAACGGAAAGGCCUCUUUCGGGGGGUACUCGAGUGGCGAAAGGGUGAGUAACACGUGAGUAACCUGCCCUUGACUUUGGGAUAACUUCAGGAAACUGGGGCUAAUACCGGAUAGGAGCUCCUGCUGCAUGGUGGGGGUUGGAAAGUUUCGGCGGUUGGGGAUGGACUCGCGGCUUAUCAGCUUGUUGGUGGGGUAGUGGCUUACCAAGGCUUUGACGGGUAGCCGGCCUGAGAGGGUGACCGGCCACAUUGGGACUGAGAUACGGCCCAGACUCCUACGGGAGGCAGCAGUGGGGAAUAUUGCACAAUGGGUGGAAGCCUGAUGCAGCAACGCCGUGUGCGGGAUGACGGCCUUCGGGUUGUAAACCGCUUUCGCUCAUGACGAAGCUUUGUGUGACGGUAGUGGGUAAAGAAGCACCGGCUAACUACGUG
rnacentral:rRNA from 1 species